GUUUGAUACCCCGAAACUACGUGAGCUACUUCAAGACAGCCUAUUAUAGGGCUAACCCAUCUCUGUGGCAAAAGCGUGGGAAGAACUUUGAGUAGAGGUGACAAACCUACCGAACCUAGUUAUAGCUGGUUGUCCAAGAAAUGAAUAAAAGUUCAGCCUCUAAGCUUCUUCCUUCACCUGAACUUAACCCCUUUAGAUGUAUUAAAGAAACUAAGAAAGUUAGUCAAAGGAGGUACAGCUCCUUUGAAUCAAGACACAACUUUAACAGGCGGGUAAAGAUCAUAAUAACCAAAGCUAGACAUUCUGGUGGGCCUAAAAGCAGCCAUCCCUUAGAAAGCGUUAAAGCUCAAACAUAUUACUUAUACCUUCUUAUCCUGAUCAAUAAAUCUCACCCCCCUAACCAUACUGGACCCUCCCAUGCCCCCAUGGGUGUGAUUAUGCUAAUAUGAGUAAUAAGAGAGCCCGCCUCUCUCCCUGCACACGUGUACCUCGGAACAGACAACCCACCGACCAUUAACGACCCCAAACAAAGAGGGCAAUAAAUCAUAAACUAAAAUCAAGUAAAACAUUUAAAAAUUAACCGUUAACCCCACACAGGUGUACCCCAAGGAAAGACCUAAAGAAAGAGAAGGAACUCGGCAAACACAUAAAGUCUCGCCUGUUUACCAAAAACAUCGCCUCUUGUACCCCCC
rnacentral:rRNA from 1 species